rnacentral:rRNA from 1 species
AUACGUAGGGGGCGAGCGUUGUCCGGAUUUACUGGGCGUAAAGGGUGAGUAGGCGGUUGUAUAUGUCAGAUGUAAAAGGCUAAGGCUUAACCAUAGUUAGCAUUUGAAACUGUACAACUUGAGUGCAGGAGAGGUAAGCGGAAUUCCUAGUGUAGCGGUGAAAUGCGUAGAUAUUAGGAGGAACACCAGUGGCGAAGGCGGCUUACUGGACUGUAACUGACGCUGAGUCACGAAAGCGUGGGUAGCAAACAGGAUUAGAUACCCUGGUAGUCCACGCUGUAAACGAUGAGUGCUAGGUGUUGGGUAGCGAUACUCAGUGCCGAAGUAAACACAAUAAGCACUCCGCCUGGGGAGUACGGUCGCAAGACUGAA